rnacentral:rRNA from 1 species
GACGAACGCUGGCGGCGUGCUUAACACAUGCAAGUCGAACGGGCCCGCCCCUGUUUUUGGGGGUGGGUUGAGUGGCGAACGGGUGAGUAUCACGUGAGUAACCUGCCCCCUGCUCCUGGAUAACUGCUUGAAAGGGCGGCUAAUACGGGGUGUGCCGGCUGGUCCGCAUGGGCCUGGUCGGGAUAGUUUCAUCUUCGGGUGUUUCGGUGGGGGAUGGGCUCGCGGCCUAUCAGCUUGUUGGUGGGGUGAUGGCCCACCAAGGCGGUGACGGGUAGCCGGCCUGAGAGGGUGGGCGGCCACACUGGGACUGAGACACGGCCCAGACUCCGGCGGGAGGCAGCAGUGGGGGGUAUUGCACAAUGGGCGGAAGCCUGAUGCAGCGACGUCGCGUGAGGGAUGGAGGCCGUCGGGUUGUGAACCUCUUUCUCCGGUGGUGAAGGCCCUGUCCGUUGCGGCGGGGUUGACGGUAGCCGGGUAUGAAGCGCCGGCUAACUACGUG